rnacentral:rRNA from 1 species
GAUGAACGCUGGCGGCGUGCCUAAUACAUGCAAGUCGAGCGAAUGGAUUAAGAGCUUGCUCUUAUGAAGUUAGCGGCGGACGGGUGAGUAACACGUGGGUAACCUGCCCAUAAGACUGGGAUAACUCCGGGAAACCGGGGCUAAUACCGGAUAACAUUUUGAACCGCAUGGUUCGAAAUUGAAAGGCGGCUUCGGCUGUCACUUAUGGAUGGACCCGCGUCGCAUUAGCUAGUUGGUGAGGUAACGGCUCACCAAGGCAACGAUGCGUAGCCGACCGGGGAGGGUGAUCGGCCACACGGGGACUGAGACACGGCCCAGACUCCUACGGGAGGCAGCAGUAGGGAAUCUUCCGCAAUGGACGAAAGUCUGACGGAGCAACGCCGCGUGAGUGAUGAAGGCUUUCGGGUCGUAAAACUCUGUUGUUAGGGAAGAACAAGUGCUAGUCGAAUAAGCUGGCACCUUGACGGUACCUAACCAGAAAGCCACGGCUAACUACGUGCCAGCCGCCGCCAUAA